rnacentral:tRNA from 1 species
AAAAAAUUAAUUUAUAGUAAAAUAUUGAUUUGUCAAAUCAAAAAACUUAACAAAAUUAAGAUUUUUUU